AGCGAACGCUGGCGGCAGGCUUAACACAUGCAAGUCGAGCGGGCCCUUCGGGGUCAGCGGCAGACGGGCGAGUAACACGUGGGAACGUACCCUUUGGUUCGGAAUAACGCUGGGAAACUAGCGCUAAUACCGGAUACGCCCUUUUGGGGAAAGGCUUGCUGCCGAAGGAUCGGCCCGCGUCUGAUUAGCUAGUUGGUGGGGUAAUGGCCUACCAAGGCGACGAUCAGUAGCUGGUCUGAGAGGAUGAUCAGCCACACUGGGACUGAGACACGGCCCAGACUCCUACGGGAGGCAGCAGUGGGGAAUAUUGGACAAUGGGCGCAAGCCUGAUCCAGCCAUGCCGCGUGAGUGAUGAAGGCCUUAGGGUUGUAAAGCUCUUUUGUCCGGGACGAUAAUGACGGUACCGGAAGAAUAAGCCCCGGCUAACUUCGUG
rnacentral:rRNA from 1 species